rnacentral:rRNA from 1 species
UUAACACAUGCAAGUCGAACGAAGCAUUUAGAACAGAUUACUUCGGUUUGAAGUUCUUUAUGACUGAGUGGCGGACGGGUGAGUAACGCGUGGGUAACCUGCCUUGUACUGGGGGAUAGCAGCUGGAAACGGCUGGUAAUACCGCAUAAGCGCACAAUGUUGCAUGACAUGGUGUGAAAAACUCCGGUGGUAUAAGAUGGACCCGCGUCUGAUUAGCUAGUUGGUGAGAUAACAGCCCACCAAGGCGACGAUCAGUAGCCGACCUGAGAGGGUGACCGGCCACAUUGGGACUGAGACACGGCCCAGACUCCUACGGGAGGCAGCAGUGGGGAAUAUUGCACAAUGGAGGAAACUCUGAUGCAUCGACGCCGCGUGAGUGAAGAAGUAAUUCGUUAUGUAAAGCUCUAUCAGCAGGGAAGAUAGUGACGGUACCUGACUAAGAAGCUCCGGCUAAAUACGUGCCAGCAGCCGCGGUAAUACGUAUGGAGCAAGCGUUAUCCGGAUUUACUGGGUGUAAAGGGAGUGUAGGUGGCCAUGCAAGUCAGAAGUGAAAAUCCGGGGCUCAACCCCGGAACUGCUUUUGAAACUGUAAGGCUAGAGUGCAGGAGGGGUGAGUGGAAUUCCUAGUGUAGCGGUGAAAUGCGUAGAUAUUAGGAGGAACACCAGUGGCGAAGGCGGCUCACUGGACUGUAACUGACACUGAGGCUCGAAAGCGUGGGGAGCAAACAGGAUUAGAUACCCUGGUAGUCCACGCCGUAACCGAUGAAUACUAGGUGUCGGGGCCCAUAAGGGCUUCGGUGCCGC